rnacentral:rRNA from 1 species
UUGGAGCAGUUGCUGCAUCACUCAGCACAUAAUAUGGAUUUCUGUUUUUUGGUUCCAGGUAUAUGUGUUGCACUUGCCCUCUGUAUCGCUGUGCCAAGAGCUAGCAAGAACCAUUUCUUUAAUUACGCAUUUUUGCGAUACACUGUAUUUAUCAUCAUACUGAACUGGUUUCAAUCCACACAGGGUGGGGGGCAGCCUGCUGUACAAUACGUUGCUUGUGGCGUGAUUAGUUUUGUUGUUGUUCACUGUUUGUGGAAUGUAGAAGUAAAACAGCCGAUGAGUGAAGUGUGGGAUUGGAACAUGUAUGGAACCAAACUGAAGUUUCAUGGAUGGUUUAUUAACACUGCCAAUGAGGAUGGUGACGGAGGUGAGGAUGGUGACGGAGGUGAGGAUGAUGCUUCAUUUGCCUCGGAGCAUUCCGAUGAUGAAGAUUUGACUGGGUUGUCAAUUUUACGUGCGGUGCAAGUGUUGGCCAUUCGUGCAAACUUCCGUAUCAGCCGUAUGGACGCCCAUGACUGGUACCAAAGUUUUGUCAUCUAUAUGGCGCUCGAGGGGGAAGUACAAGAGGAAGGAAUGGAUUUGGUACUCAUUGGACCAUGUGGGAUACUACAUGCUUACGGUGCCUUUUGCUUGGAGGUUUUCACAGAAGAC